rnacentral:rRNA from 1 species
AUUGAACGCUGGCGGCAUGCCUUACACAUGCAAGUCGAACGGUAACAGGUCUUCGGAUGCUGACGAGUGGCGAACGGGUGAGUAAUACAUCGGAACGUGCCUAGUAGUGGGGGAUAACUACUCGAAAGAGUGGCUAAUACCGCCUGAGAUCUACGGAUGAAAGCAGGGGAUCGCAAGACCUUGUGCUACUAGAGCGGCCGAUGGCAGAUUAGGUAGUUGGUGGGAUAAAAGCUUACCAAGCCGACGAUCUGUAGCUGGUCUGAGAGGACGAUCAGCCACACUGGGACUGAGACACGGCCCAGACUCCUACGGGAGGCAGCAUUGGGGAAUUUUGGACAAUGGGCGCAAGCCUGAUCCAGCAAUGCCGCGUGCAGGAUGAAGGCCUUCGGGUUGGAAACUGCUUUAGUACGGAACGAAAAGCCCUGGGUUAAUACCCUGGGGUCAUGACGGUACCGUAAGAAUAAGCACCGGCUAACUACGUGCCAGCCGCCGCCGUAACAC